UACCAUGCAGUCGAGCGGAACGACGAUGCUUGCUAUCAGGCGUCGAGCGGCGGACGGGUGAGUAAUACUUAGGAAUCUACCUAGUAGUGGGGGAUAGCACGGGGAAACUCGUAUUAAUACCGCAUACGUCCUACGGGAGAAAGGGGGCAACUUGUUGCUCUCGCUAUUAGAUGAGCCUAAGUCGGAUUAGCUAGAUGGUGGGGUAAAGGCCUACCAUGGCGACGAUCUGUAGCUGGUCUGAGAGGAUGAUCAGCCACACCGGGACUGAGACACGGCCCGGACUCCUACGGGAGGCAGCAGUGGGGAAUAUUGGACAAUGGGGGAAACCCUGAUCCAGCCAUGCCGCGUGUGUGAAGAAGGCCUUUUGGUUGUAAAGCACUUUAAGCAGUGAAGAAGACCUAACGGUUAAUACCCGUUAGCGAUGACAUUAGCUGCAGAAUAAGCACCGGCUAACUCUGUGCCAGCAGCCGCGGUAA
rnacentral:rRNA from 1 species